UACAGAGGUCUCAAGCGUUGUUCGGAUUCAUUGGGCGUAAAGGGUGCGUAGGUGGUUGGGUAAGUCAAAUGUGAAAUCCCGGAGCUCAACUCCGGAACUGCAUUCGAUACUGCCCGGCUAGAGGAUUGGAGAGGAGACUGGAAUUCACGGUGUAGCAGUGAAAUGCGUAGAUAUCGUGAGGAACACCCGUGGCGAAGGCUGGUCUCUGGACAAUUCCUGACACUGAGGCACGAAGGCCAGGGGAGCAAACGGG
rnacentral:rRNA from 1 species